ACUCCUACGGGAGGCAGCAGUAGGGAAUCUUCGGCAAUGGGGGCAACCCUGACCGAGCAACGCCGCGUGAGUGAAGAAGGUUUUCGGAUCGUAAAGCUCUGUUGUAAGAGAAGAACGUGUGUGAGAGUGGAAAGUUCACACAGUGACGGUAACUUACCAGAAAGGGACGGCUAACUACGUGCCAGCAGCCGCGGUAAU
rnacentral:rRNA from 1 species